GAAUUAAAUUGCCUCUGCUCUCUUGUCUUCAGCCAGCCCCAAUGCCAUGCUCCAGCCUUCUGGGAACAGAAUCCAGCACGUCCAACACUUGGCAUUGAAUCGAAGCAACGAAGUCUAGCAGAACUCUGGGCCGUUUAACUGGCAGCUGCUCUGGGGGCUGCCAAGGACUGCUCAUUCUGCACAGCUAAUGGGGUUAGCCAUCACUGCCAGGCCGGCUGCAGCAGCCCCGGCUUUCUGUUGCCUUGGGGACAGAGACAAAGAGCACCAAGAGACCUCAGACAUCUUUUCCUUCAGCAGGCUAUUAGGGAGACACUAUUGUUGAUAGAAUGGACUGAAGGGGAAGGAAGGUUCAAUGGGAAAGGAAGAUCUCUGGUCCCAGGGGUAUGGUGUUCUUGUUUCCCUAUCCCCCUAAUUGUCAUCCCAAAGGUCUGAGUAUUAGUGAUUUGGACAUCUGGCUUGGAUAAUCAUUACUAGAUGCUUAGCCUUAGUGUUUCCAAAUGCUUCUCUUAUAUUGGUUCAGUCAUUACUGCCAUGUGUACUUCAUCCGCCAUGAGGCUCAGUCUUCCCCAGCUCUGUAACCCUGGGGAAUCUUACAGGCAGGUAAUAAAGUCUGUUAAACAGU
rnacentral:lncRNA from 1 species